AACGUUUUCGGAUGUAAAAGAGAAUCGCAGCAGCUUUACACACGCAGACACUCAGGAGUACGAAUCGAAAAAGGCAGAUUUAGGUUGGUUCGAAAUCGUCUGUCGCGCCGAUCGAAGGAGACCGGUGGAAAAGAGCUGAUAAUGACAAUUUCAAUGGAAUACGUGCAUUUAAAAAUAGUCUUGCAUUCGCGAGAUUCUUCCCCCAAAAUGGCGAUUCGUGGGACGGACAGAUGCUGCGUUUCCGAAACAUCCCCGAAAAACAUCUUCCUCUCUGACGCGACAACUGAUUAAUGGUCCGAGCCUCGCGUUCGCCUAAUAUCACCUUGAAGGGGAUGAGAAACGUUUAAAAAUAGAUCGCUUUGCUUGCAUCUGCAUCCAGUUGUAAACUGUCUCCACGGAAAUUUCAGUCUUAAUUCUUACAUUUUUUUUUUCUUCUUGAUCUUCAACCAUACUUUAUACAUCAAAUUUCUU